GUGGGGAAUAUUGCACAAUGGGCGCAAGCCUGAUGCAGCCAUGCCGCGUGUGUGAAGAAGGCCUUCGGGUUGUAAAGCACUUUCAGCGGGGAGGAAGGCGGUGAGGUUAAUAACCUCAUCGAUUGACGUUACCCGCAGAAGAAGCACCGGCUAACUCCGUGCCAGCAGCCGCGGUAAUACGGAGGGUGCAAGCGUUAAUCGGAAUUACUGGGCGUAAAGCGCACGCAGGCGGUCUGUCAAGUCGGAUGUGAAAUCCCCGGGCUCAACCUGGGAACUGCAUUCGAAACUGGCAGGCUAGAGUCUUGUAGAGGGGGGUAGAAUUCCAGGUGUAGCGGUGAAAUGCGUAGAGAUCUGGAGGAAUACCGGUGGCGAAGGCGGCCCCCUGGACAAAGACUGACGCUCAGGUGCGAAAGCGUGGGGAGCAAACAGGAUUAGAUACCCCGGUAGUCC
rnacentral:rRNA from 1 species